GAUGAACGCUGGCGGCGUGCCUAAUACAUGCAAGUCGAGCGAACAGACGAGGAGCUUGCUCCUCUGCCGUUAGCGGCGGACGGGUGAGUAACACGUGGAUAACCUACCUAUAAGACUGGGAUAACUUCGGGAAACCGGAGCUCAUACCGGAUCAUAUAUUGAACCGCAUGGUUCAAUAGUGAAAGACGGUUUUGCUGUCACUUAUAGAUGGAUCCGCGCCGCAUUAGCUAGUUGGUAAGGUAACGGCUUACCAAGGCAACGAUGCGUAGCCGACCUGAGAGGGUGAUCGGCCACACUGGAACUGAGACACGGUCCAGACUCCUACGGGAGGCAGCAGUAGGGAAUCUUCCGCAAUGGGCGAAAGCCUGACGGAGCAACGCCGCGUGAGUGAUGAAGGUCUUCGGAUCGUAAAACUCUGUUAUUAGGGAAGAACAAAUGUGUAAGUAACUAUGCACGUCUUGACGGUACCUAAUCAGAAAGCCACGGCUAACUACGUG
rnacentral:rRNA from 1 species